GUGGGGAAUCUUCCGCAAUGGACGAAAGUCUGACGGAGCAACGCCGCGUGAGUGAUGAAGGUCUUCGGAUUGUAAAGCUCUGUUAAUCGGGACGAAAGAGCCUAGUGUGAAUAAUGCUAGGAAGUGACGGUACCGGAAUAGAAAGCCACGGCUAACUACGUGCCAGCAGCCGCGGUAAUACGUAGGUGGCAAGCGUUGUCCGUAAUUAUUGGGCGUAAAGCGCGCGCAGGCGGACCUGCCAGUCUGUCUUAAAAGUUCGGGGCUUAACCCCGUGAUGGGAUAGAAACUACAGAUCUAGAGUAUCGGAGAGGAAAGUGGAAUUCCUAGUGUAGCGGUGAAAUGCGUAGAUAUUAGGAAGAACACCAGUGGCGAAGGCGACUUUCUGGACGAAAACUGACGCUGAGGCGCGAAAGCCAGGGGAGCGAACGGGAUUAGAUACCCCUGUAGUCC
rnacentral:rRNA from 1 species